CAACAAUAAGCUCUCCUGUUGUUAGUCUUUUCUUUUGACCACCUGAUAUACCUCUUCUCAUGGCAUCACCAACCAAUGUUUCAGCACAAAUAUCAAGUCCAAGAAUCUUCAGAAUAUAAUCCGUUUGAAGAUUUGUCUUUUGUCCUUCAACAGCAAUCGCCUUCAUGUAAGUAUCUAUAUCUGGAUCAGGAACAAUUCCUGCUUCUUUCUCCCUUCUGCUUAGGUCAAUCAUAAUAUCUGCUCUGCUUCCGACUCCUUGAAAACAAGACGAAUAGUCUAAUGUUUCUCUAACAGUCAUUUCAGGGAUGUGUAGGUCAUUUUGGCUUAUAUAUGCAGAAGUUUUCUGUGGUACAAACUCCUCCAAUUUAUAGCCGUUAUAAGAAAUCUCCCCAG
rnacentral:misc_RNA from 1 species